CUUCUUUCAAAAACAACCUACAAAUUCAAUUCAACUCCAAAACCAACCUCUUUUUUUUUGUCAUUACUAUUCACCAUGAAAAGUUCCAAACUAUCCUUAUGUUUUUAAAUUAUUUACAAAAUUGCCAUUAUUAUUUAAUUAUUUAAUAAUUUCGAAAAUCAUAAAAAACCUAUUACACCCUAAACAUUUCUUCUUAUUUACAACAAUGCCAUUAUCAUCAAUUUUUCAACCACCAUUAACAACCAUUUUUGAGCUCAUUAAACCUCAAGAAUUCAAUAUACAACCACUUUGUUGUGAUUCUAAACAAAAAAACUCUCAUUUCCUCUCAUUUCCUCUCCAUUUCAAUCUAAAAAACUCCCAUAACUUUCAUUUUCAUAACCAUAAUUUCAUAUUUUCGAGUGUACACUGUUGUGAGUAGGCAAAGUUGGAUCCUUUUACUCAUAUUUGGAGCUUGGACGGUGGAAAAGGGUGGAAACAAGCUUUACAUCGGAAAAAGGUAAUGGUUAAGUGUGUAAUAUUGGGUUAUAAUGAUCAUAAAUGAAUGUCAAAUGACUUAUGUUGUGUAUGAAGAUUGAGUGGUAAAAGACUCUGUGGUCAAAAAUGGAAAAUGAGGAAAAACGUUUCUUCUUAACUUGUAGAUUUUAACUUUUUGUAUUGCUUUAGAACUGUAGUAAGUUGUAUUGUUUGUUAAGUUUGUUUAGAAAAUCUUAAAUUGCAACAAAACAUGAUGUCUUGGACUAAUAGUGAAGCUUGAUGCAGGAAAUCACAUAAGUUUGUUACAACAAGUAAA